CUAGAGGAGCCUGUUCUAUAAUCGAUAAACCCCGAUAAACCUCACCAAUUCUUGCUAAUACAGUCUAUAUACCGCCAUCUUCAGCAAACCCUAAAAAGGAAAAAAAGUAAGCGUAAUUAUGAUACAUAAAAACGUUAGGUCAAGGUGUAACCUAUGAAAUGGGAAGAAAUGGGCUACAUUCUCUACACCAAGAGAAUCAAGCACGAAAGUUAUUAUGAAACCAAUAACCAAAGGAGGAUUUAGCAGUAAACUAAGAAUAGAGUGCUUAGUUGAAUUAGGCCAUGAAGCACGCACACACCGCCCGUCACCCUCCUCAAAUAGAUUCAGUGCAUCUUAACCCUAUUUAAACGCACUAGCUACAUGAGAGGAGACAAGUCGUAACAAGGUAAGCAUACUGGA
rnacentral:rRNA from 1 species